GCCAACGGCGCGCGACGGAGAGCUUCCGCGGCUUGAGCUUGAGCGCAGGAGCCGCCAUGAUCGGAGCAGGGGCCUCGAUCAUAGGGAGCGACCUUGGAACACAAUCACGCGCCGCGGAGGAGGUCAAAUCGAAUCGGAAGGAGGGCAAAAUGAAACCCUAGCUACGACACGCGAGGGAGCGGUAGAGGGAGGGGAGAGAGAGAGGUGCGAUACAUACAUUGGACUAGGGUUCGAGGGGAAGCUCGAGAGAGAUCGAGAGACCACCUCACCUCGAUAAUGGUGGAGGAGGAGGAGGAGAACAGCGGUGCCGCGCCGGAGAAGGAGGUGGCGGAGGGGAGGGAGAGAGAGAGAGAGGCGUUAAAUGCCAGAAAUGGGAAGUGAAAAAUGAAAAGUGAAAAAUGAGAAAAAAAAAUUACCCUUUUUAUAGUGGGACUGUUGCGGAUGGUGCUCGAAUAAGGAGGGGGCCGAAUUAUGCGGACGGCGCUGGUCGUCCGGAUCGACCCCACGAUGCGCGGCGGUUUAGCGAUCUCGACCGUCCAUACUGGACGGUUGCGAUCGCACUCUAACGCGACUUUGUAAUCGGCAAUUGAGAAUAUUUCGGCGCCGAGUUUAUACUGGUACAUGCAAACAUCAUUCUUCUAUCCGGUUGUGUAUCACCGUACACUUCCAUAGAAAUAUUUUGCAAAGAGGUGUUAAUUACUCUUUCCUAAAAGCUUAACUUGGAUACGGCGCCGUUGGGCGAACAAACGAAUCAACAAUGCCAAAAAUGUGUAGCUCAGUACGGGCCGAUCGAGCGAUCUCCGCCCUACAGAACAUACAAGAUCAUUAAAUUCUCUCACAGGAAGCUGUUCAUGAAUCUGAAUUCUCGCAAUUCUUCCUCACGACUUCGAACGAAAACAUUAGUUGUAAGUGUUUCAUUGUAGUACAUGCUUAAAACACGCCUUAUUUUGCAACAUUCCACAAUCUAUCUCCGAUCAUCUCAUAAACCAAAAGAAACCCGCAAAUCUCCUCAUAUUCUCACCACCCUGAACAUAGUUUUGAGGACAAGGAUUAAAAUAGCGGCUCGUGCAAACUACGUGCUACCACGCCGUGAAUAACAUUCAAUAGAUUCUUUUGAAACCAUCAAAAUCUGGCGUGGAAAUUAUGUUUUGUGCACCAACUCCUUGACCGCGUCUGCGAGGGAUUGCUCGCCCCGAAUGCUCUCGACCCACUUCGCGUUGAUCCGCACCCGCUCGAGGCUCUGCUUCAGUGCUCUCUCGAAGGAGGGUUUGACCCGGCUAGCGAAGAACUCUUCGACUUCCACAGCUUUCUCAGAGGAGUUAAACUGGUAGUAAAACAAGUAAUACUUUAGUAAGGAAGAUAACUAGUACUACUAAGUGGAUAAACAAUGCAGAGAUUGUAGGUUUCAUCCGAUACCGGCGAUACAAUCGCACUGACGAAUCUUGAGAUUAAAGAGCUUGCUGCCCAUGUCUUUGAGAUAUAGUCCCAGUUCUCCUGCAAUACAUAUAUGUAUGUUAAUGAAAUUUUUCGAUGUAUAACCAUGCGUAAGAUUUCUUCGUACCUGCUCUAUGUUUCUUUAUCUCUUUUUGUUACUUCUAUAUUUUACUAAUAACUAGGGGUGUACACAGUUUGGUCCCAAACUGAAAACCAAACCGAACCAAACCAAAUAAAACUAUUUAGUUUAUAUGGUUUUCAGUUCGAUUCGGUUUUCAAAUUUAUUAAAAUUCGGUUUCUGGUUUCGGUUUCGGUUUCGGUUUGAACACAUUUCUUAAUCGAACAGAACCAAAAACCGAAUAGUAAUAGUUUUACAAAUUUUAUCUGAACUAAUUUAUUAAAUUUUAUAUUUAUGAUCAAAUCUUGAUCAUAUAUCAACACAUUUUUCAAAGUUCUAUGUUUAUAAUUAAAUUUGUUGUCUAAUGAUUCAAUUUUUAAUAUCAAAUUAUAAAAUAAUUCAUAAGAAAAAUUUUAAAAAAAAUCUGAAAAUUAAUUGCAAAACCGAACCAAAAGUAAUUCGUAAUUUUUUCAAAUCGAAAAAUUCGGUUCAGUUUGAGAUUUGCCUAAAAACCAAACCAAUGUCCGCAAUAGGAGUAUGGGACAUUAUUGCGACAAGCAUCGAAUAUCAUAAGGCUAGAAAAGUUCAAGAGAAAAGACAACUUUCUAGGGUUGUGGAGUACAUAUUGAUGUAAAAGCUUAAAUAUCAAACCUCGUUCAGCAUCGGCAUUUGACGGUCUGAAGCAUGAAAUUGCUUUUCCAAUUAUAUGAUUAAAACUAAACCAUAACACAGUACAUUAGUAUAAUAUACGGCGUUAGUUGUUUUUCCAAUUAUACUUUUGAUUAUUGCCCAAUCAACAAUGAUAGUCGCAAAUCAGAACAUUUCAAUGCUAUUGUAACCUCCGAAAGUCCACUUAGGCAACAAUUAGUUACUAAUAUAGUCAAAUUGUAUGGAGUUCAUAACCAAAUGACAUGUACCUUAAGCCAAACCCAUGCAGUUUCACGUCCUUGCCUGCUGAUCCCAAGGCCGUAAAUUGCAUCUUGAUUUCGAACCUAAACAAGCAGACAAUUGAAAAAGGACAAAAAAAAAGAUCUUGUCAAGAGCCAUUUCAUUGAGAGCACUAAAAAGUUACGAAGAUUAAAUACCAACCUUACGGGUCAAUAGAAAAUUCAGGGCCUCGAGGACAAUUUCCUUAUCGGGGCAAGAUGCCAAAGAGCCUAGAAACAAAGGGUGGGGAAAAAAGAAAAUUCAAGAAUGACAAGUUAGCGAAAGAAAUAACAACGAAACCCAAUGUUGAAGCUUGAACCCUUUUCGAGUACUUUUUCGUAGAUUCAAUUCUAACAAUUUAGUCCAUUAAGUUUGUCCAGCAUAAUAGUUGUCUUUUCUCUAGUCUACUACAAGAAACGAAACACCACAUCAGCAUCAUCAACAUAGUUAGAGGACAAGACAAUUUUUGAAGGCAGGCCAUGACAGGAAUAUGUUGCUGUGGCAACUUUUCAAUAAGGUAGAGUAAGAGAGAAAAGACUUUGGACUAAAGUGUUACGCAGAACAAACUUCACGGACUAAAUUUUUCACAUUGAAAUUUUAAGGGCGUUAAAUUAAAACAGAAUCAAACUUCAGAUACUAAAUUUUCACCUAACCUAUUAGUUAAAAAAAAUUAAAAAAAAAAAUUUGUAGACUGUCUUCGCACAGUGAGACGUUUAAUUACUUACCUAAAACACGUACUCUUUCCUGACUUUGAUCCGUCUCUGUGUAUAUCCUUAAGAGAGAUUCAAACCCAGAUUUAUUUGAGGUGCUAACAGUUUGCAUUACACCAAGGUAUGCAGCCUAAAUGACAAUUUCAAAGUACAUUAUUUACGAAGAAAUUAGACUAAAAACCAGUAAAAUAAUAAAUAUCUCGUUUCAACCUUUCUAUUAUCCGGAGGCAAGAGGGGUGUAUUUCGGUCAUUUAAGAAGAUAUUGAAGCGCUUUACUGCUUCAUUUAUAGUCUCUUCAUGACCAAGUCUUACAAGCGCAACUAAAAGAUCGGAUCUUAGCAUUACAUCCAAGUGGUUUUCGCCAUCCUUAGGAUCCCAACCUAAUUUUCUGAAAAUAAAAAUACUACGAGAUUGAGCACAAGGGAAAAGUAUAAGAUUGUUUGACAAUAUGCUAAAUCAGAAUAAAUUGCACCUAUCUCACAACUUAUACUGCCUAAAAUUGAGGAAUUUACCUUUUAUAAACUCAUCUAACUGACAUAUAUAUGCACAUAACUAUCCAGGAAUACCAAAGAAAAAUAUAGUAUGUAAUAGAGAUAUUUAUGUAUAUCUGUGCAGAAUCAUUUAUUUACACGUAGACCCCGUAAAAUCUGCAUAUCCAGAGGUACAGCUUGAAAUUGCAGCUUUUUCUUCCUUCUUUUCAUGGAAGUAGUCUCUUAAGAUGGGGAUCGAUCAAUUCUCCUUUUUUUUGUGCGUUGGGGUAGGUGGAGUGCUGGUUAGAAAAUGUUUUCAAAAGAGAACUAUUUUCGAAAGUACAGAGCUAUAUAUAUAGAGAGAGAGACUUAUGAGUAUAAGGUGAUUGUACUCAUAAAAGUAUAGUAGCCAGAGUGCGGGGUUCUCUCUCUCUCUCUCUCUCUCUCUAUAUAUAUAUAUAUAGAAUGAAGCUAGAAUAUUUUUCAUACUAAAGGAAAUAGUAUUUACUAUAUACGUUUUAGACCUUGGAUACUUAUAAUAGGGUUUAGUGGUGGUAGGAGAAAAGUAUUGAUCCAAGGGCUCUAUAAAGUUGAUAGUAAAUACUGUCCAUUUACUAUCAAUAGUAUUCUAGGCGAACUAUAUAUAUAUAUAUAUAUCUAGUUGAGCUAGAAUACUAUUGGUAGCAAACGAGCUCCAUUGCUAUAGAUUUUGUUUUCGUCUUUUCGAUGAUAGAGCCUCUAAAUCAACGAUCGGCACAGUUGAACAAAAUCUACAUCACUCGAAGAAUCUAGAAAUCAAAUUUAUGUGUUUUCGAUAUUGUUCUCUUGCACAUCAAGUAGACACAAAAAUGAAGAGCUAAAAAUAAAUAACCUUCAAAAAGUGAUGAUGAGAUUUUUGUAAUCAAGAUCAAGAGUAUAGAUCUUGUUUUAAAUAGUUUAAAAUUUUUUCUAACCAAAAUUUAAUUGAUUUAGAUUUGUUUACACAGUUAAACAAGCAAACCCCUCCCAUCGACCUUUAAAAUUAUAAAUUUUGCAACCCUUUGAUCAUUAGAUCAAUGACGUCGAAAGGAUUUGAAAUUUGAUUUCUAGAUACUUCUAGAAUAGAUCAUGUUCAACGGUGGCGAUCGUCGAUUUGAAGACUCCAUCAUUAAAAACAAAUCAGUAGCAACGAAGCCCGUUUGCUACCGACAGUAUUCUAGCUCAACUCUCUCUCUCUCUCUCUCUCUCUCUCUCUCUCUCUCUCUCUCUCUCUCUAUAUAUAUAUAUAUAUAUAUAUAUAUAUAUAUACACCUUGUGAUCAAAUCAUGUUAAAAUGAACAGUACAAAUUGAACAAUCUUUAGAAAUUGAGGAUAGAACUUUUAAGUUCAAGGUAAAGGAUGCUUGAGCUUGAUCUAGAUAGUGUAAAAUAUUUUCUAUUAAAAAUUCAAUAAAUUUAGAUUCUUCUAUGCCGUUAAACUACAAAGUCAUCAUAUUAGCCUUUGAAAAUUGGCAAUUUUGAGAUGGUUCGAUCAUAAGGUAAACAAUGUCGACAAAAUAUAAAAUUUUAUUUAUAAAAACUUCAAAUACCCUAGUUCAAUUUUAAUGGUGUGGAGCAUCAAUUAAUAAACACCCUAAAGUCAAAAGCGAGACUAUCGUAAGGGAGCCCUCUAUAGUAUAGGUGCAUUGCUCUCUCUCUCUCCCCCCUCCAAUUUAUAUUUUAGUUACUGAAAAAGUUUAAAGAGAUGCCAUGCAGAAACUGACAUAGGCCAUCAAUAUGCAUUAAUUAUCAUGUCUCGAUUAUACAUACUUUGCAGCAGACAGAAGAAGAUUGAUGAGAAAGAGUUUGAUGUCAUUGGCCAACUCUGGAGUGGCAUCCAUUACCACAUCUGCGAUCUUACAACUAAUCUGCAAGCCAAAGAAAAAAGUAAUUACACUUGAAAGAAUAGAUUAAAAAUGUAACGUAAGAGGUGAAGGUAUACACACCACUAUUACGUGAGAAAGCACAGUAUAAUCGAACUCUUCACCAUAAGCACUCAACAAGAAAAGUAAAGAUGACAAUGUUUGUUUGCAGGCCACAGAAAGGGCAUAUGAAUCUUCUACUACGCCUGCAUUAGAAAUAUUAGAAUGAUCAUAAUUGACAUCGAAGCUUACUUGAACAAGAUUGGAAGGGGCUUUUUACAUAUAUAUCCCUGCAAAAUAGUCAAUGUACAUGUAUACUCCUGCAAAAAGUGAGUUAUUACACAUAGCCCACGAAAGUGCAGCUUUGUACCAAAAUAUCCAUACCUCAUUCAGAAGUCAUCUGAUCCAUGGAUCAAGGUAGUAUUCGACUAGAAUAAGUUUUUUAGUUAAGGGCCACUUUAUGUGACUUCAAGGGUAUAGGAAGUUCUUAAGAUUUGAAGGGUACAUAUACUACCAAAAUUGAGAUUUUACAACAAUAUACAUAUAUGUAAACAUCGUAUUCUACUAGGAUAAGGUUUUUAGGAAAGGGCAACUUUAUGUGACUUCAAGGAUAGGGAAGUAGGUUCUUAAGAUUUGAGGGUACAUACACUACCAAAAUUGAGAUUUUACAACAAUAUAGAUAUAUGUAAACAUCUCAAUUUGGAAAUACAGGUCAAUUAAUCAGUACUUAAUCCUAUUACCUAUUUUGUCCAUUAAAGAGAGCUUAUUGGCCUGUACUGCAUAUCUAAUUCCAGCAGCAAGCUCAUCAUCAUAUUUCACUCUGUAAAAGCCUGUUUGGUCUACAUUCAACUUAAUCCAGAAGCGUUCACCAUUCUCAUUGUUCGGAUCAUGAGAACUGACAAGCUCCUUUAUGUCCAACUUAUGAUAUUUUGAUUUCAGCAGAAACUUUUCCUGGGGAUUAUAGGAACCGCAGCAUAAUGUUACAGGAAUAAUCCACAUGCCAGUACCAGAAGAUCCAUCAGAUAAAAACUGUGCCUGCAAAGAAGAAGCAAUGUCAAAUGUUAUUGGAAGGAGGGGAACCAAAAAAAUAAAAAACUUAAUAGAACUACAAAAGCACCAUUACUCCUUUUUUUAAAAAGAUCAAGCUCUUGUAUGAUCAACAAGGUAUGAUCAAAUGGAACAUAUGAGGUGAUUGCCACGAAAGACUUAUUUAAAGAAGAGAUAAAUAUAUUGGACUAAGCAACAGAAAUCUAAUUGGCUCUUGUUGGGGAAAAAAACAAGAAGAAUAAGUUAGAGCGAUUGUUGAGUGUUAGGAGUAGGUAAAUGCUUUUCUUAGUUGCGAUAAAAAAGAAACAUGUAAAGAAUUCUAAAAGACAAACCUGCUCAAGCUCCAACUCAUGCUUUUUAAGGUUUGCAUAAAUAACAGGAUAUCCUUGUUGCUUUGUCCACGAAUUCAUCAAAUCCUUGACAGGUUCUCUGGACUUCUCUUCAAGAACAGCCCAAAGGUCUUCAGUCUUAGCAUUUGAGUAGGUGUAUUUUUUUAUGUACGAAGCGAGAGCUUGCUGAAAUUUAAAAUUAACAAACGUAUCAUCAAUAAAACAUAUAGAUAUGAACAAUUCAUGACGACUAGCCCAAGGAGAAAAAUUAGACUGUAGAAAGAGUAAAAAGAAAAGGCUAAAAUACAGAAAAUCAGUUGGAUAUAUUAUGAUUUGCACUUUAAUCAAAACCUAUAGAUAACCCCAUAGAUAACCCCUCAAUUUAUUUGAAAAUCUUACAUUUUUACUACCUACAGGAGGGAGUAAAAUGCUGACGUAUCACAAGUGUUGAGAUUAUCAGCAGGGUUUAAUUAUCAAAAGGGAUAAGUGUAAAUCACCCUAUAUCCAAGGCUGUAAUCUGCAUUUUAGCCAAAAAAAAAAAAAAAAGCUACUAAGCUGCAAAAAGAACAUCUUCAGUACCAGAAUUUUGUGCUCUGAAUACGAUAUAUAACAAAUGAACGCUCGCUAUUACAUGAAGCGUGAAUAAUUGCAGAUAUAGAGGAAUUUCACAUCAGUAAUCCCAGAAAACAAACUCAAAACUCAGAGAACAUUAAGCCAUUAAGGAAGAAUUUAAAGCGAAACUGGGGAAAAGCUGACAACCAACCUGGAAAGAUUCCGCACCAAGGUAACUCUGCAGCAUUCUGAUAACAGAGGCACCCUUGUCAUAGCUUAUCGAGUCAAAAAUUGCAUCAAUCUCAUUGGCAUGGUUUAUUUCGACCUGAACAAAUGUGGAAACAUUUUGAGGCAUUGUAAAACAUAGCUCUUACCUACAAAAGGUAUGCGGGACAAUCACAUAUCCAUAUAUAAGUAUGCUCACGCAUGCUUGCGAACAUACUAACGUAUGGAUGUGUGAAUGCCCUACAUCCCUUUUCUAGGUAAGAACAUACUUUUAUGUAUGCAUACUAACAUAUUUAUGCAUGCAUGCAUGCAUGAUAUGCGAAUAUCCCACAUCCCUUUUGUAGGUAAGAAGGGGACAUCACUUUCCUAGGUAUGGGUGUGCGUUACCUCAAUAGGAUGUGAUUCAGAAAGUGCAUCAAGCAUAAGGCCCGCAGCAGUUUCUUCAAGAAAUUGAGUCCAAAUCUUCCAUUCAGGGAACAAGGAAUCUACUGCUAAAUAGCUCACCUGUUAAAAGAGCAAAACAGAAAUGCAACAGAAGUUUCUAUUGUAAGUUACAAUCACUCAAAAUGGCAAGAAUAAUAUUACGUCCCUUACCCAUGAUGCAAAUCCCUCAUUUAGCCAUAAGUGUGUCCACCAUUCCAUUGUCACCAGAUUUCCAAACCAUUGGUGUGCCAACUCAUGUGCUACAGUAAUCGCCACCUAAGAAGAAUUAAACAGGUAGAACAAAGAGAGAAUAUGUUAGAUCCAAGACAAUUUCGCUCUCACGGUGAAGCGCCAUCAAGCACAGAUUUAAUCCAAAUUUUGAAUAAUCUUCAAGCAUUAAGAACUAAAGUAAGAGCCAUCAAGAAUUAAGGACUGAUCACCGAUUGUUUGUUUGAUGCUGAUGAUAAGCGAUCAUCAUAGAGCAAAGCUGUUUCUCGAUAAGUGACUAAUCCAUAGUUCUCCAUAGCACCAGCAGCAAAAUCAGGAAUAGCUACCAUAUCCAAUUUGGGAAGAGGAUAAGGCACCGCAAAAUAACUAAGAAAUGAAAAUGAACAACUGUUAAUGAUCCUAUAAAAAUUUCCAACUAAUGUAAAUGAAAACGAACAACUGUUAGUGAAGCUACAGAAAUUUUCAGAUGUAUGUAACAAAAGAACUCAUGCCAAUUGAUGGAUAAAAUUUGACAACAAAUCAAAAUUAAUUACUUCUCAUAGAGUUGAAGCGACUUCACAGCAACAUCUAAAGCAAACUUCCCUUGACUGCUCUUACCAACUUGACAAUAUACGCGAACUUUUGUACCUAAAGAAAUAUGCACAAGCCCAUCAAUUUAUCUUCUAUAUAAUUUGGAAGGAAAGAAUGGGACUGGUUAAAGAAUAGGUUAUAUACUUCUAUAUCGUACCAUCUGGUAAUUUGUCUUCUAUAUAGUCAAAUAAACCAACAACAAUAGCCACCAAGUAAGUUGACAUAAUUGGUGAUUCCUCAAAAGAGAGUGUCUUGACAACUCCAUUAACUUUCUCUUCAGCAACAGGCAUAUUGGAUAAUGCUACGAGCUCAGAGGGUACUUCCAGUGUAAUCUUGAAGGUAGCCUGAAGACAUCAGGAUAGGAAAAGAAUAUGACACUGGUGUAGAAAUUUUCAAGAACAACAGUUAGCCUAAAAUCAAAGAUGAAGGCAAAACAGCGGGGCAAAUUGACUGAAUCUAUUCAGAAAAGCACUAAUAGCUUUUUCAUAGAUACAACAUAGAUCCGUUGACAAAUUUGUGCUGCUACAAAUAUAGAAGCUUCAAAUGGGGGACUGUUUUUGGGGUAUAAAGCUUAUUUAAAUUUCCACCAUAGCAAAAGCUCCAAGCUUUUCAUUUUGCAAAGUGCUAAGCUUCCACUUUUCAGAGUAGAGAAGCUAUUUAGAAGCUGGGUAUUCACUAAGCAAUCUAAACUAAAAGUUUCGAGUUUUUGGCUUUUCUGGUUUUAGAUGAACACACUAUUUGAGUUUUUGCUUUUAGAUGAACACAACAUUUUAUUUGUUUACAGAGUUCAAGCAGUAGCAUCACCAUUCAAAUUAAGCAAAAGUUUAAGGGCUUCAGGAAAAAAAAAAUAUACAAAUGCUUCUGAUGGAUCCUUUCUCUAAUUAGUUUAAUGACUUUUACUGGUGUUUGGAUCUUCUAGUAAUUUAUACGUAUUGCUUCAUGCGUUGUAAAGCACUCAACUAAGUAAACAAUCCUUCAUAUUAUAAUUUACUAAUCUUUAUUAUGGUUGUGCCAAUAGAUCAUAGAUCAAAACGAAAUAAUACAAAAAAGUUUUCAACAUGAAAUUCUUUUAAAGGAAGAGGCAUGCAAGAGAGUAAAAUGAACCACAGUUUGUUUCAUUUGAGCAACUUGAUGGUUCUUCCUUGGCAAAAUUUAGCCACAUUGUUUGGUUUAUCUCAAACAAUUUAUGUGACUACUGACUAAGUUCCUGUUAAAGCAGAUAUCUCACCCUAAUUCUGCAUAGAAGAGACAUCAAAAGAUGUCGUAGUUAAGUAGGCAUCCUAAAACAAGCCAUAGGCUGGAUUAGUUCCAUCUGUGUCUACCAAGAUACAAAUGUAAGCACCUUAAAUGCAGGUUCGUCCCAGCAUGGGAAACACCGUCUAGCAUCAACAGCCUCGAACUGCGUCACGGCCAUGUUUCUUAUCUCCCCAUUAUACUCGUACUUACUGCACGAGAAAUAACAUUAACUAGUCAGAAAAGUAUUUACACAUUAGAAAAAAAAAAAAAUCAAAACAUUCUAGAAGAUUAAGCUUUUACAGAAUAUUGGUGGUUUCGCAUGGUAUGAUAACAAAAGGUCCUGAGAUCAAGUCUUCAUAGGCUGCUAUAUUUUAAAUUUUCACCUGUUAAGUUCAAGUCCAUGCUUGAAACAAUAUGAGGAGUUUUAAAUAUAAAUGAGAGAAUAACAGUAGUUUCAUAUAAUAUCAUAGCAGAUUGUCGUUUAACUUCCUCUCAUUUAAGUUAAGUCUAACUUAUCGAAAGUCUCGUUUUCAUAGUAAAACAUCAUUCUCUAAAAAAUGAAACCAAAUUAUUCACAUUAUCGAUCAAACUCCUACAUACGAACAGCUAGUUACAAAUAAAAGAAAAUAGAGAUCAAAGUCAAAACGAAUUUACCUUCGGUAGAACCCCCUCAUCUGGUCAUUUAGGGUCCCUGUGAACCCAAUUCUCAGUUCCCCAUCCCCAAUAGGAAGCGUCGUGUCGAACCCCACAACCAAGAUCUCAUCCUCCUCCACUGCGACGACCUCCGAGGGCUUGAGCUCCUGCAAUCACAAACACACCCCAUCGAGACCACUGUUACCCAAAAGAUCCAUCAAGUAGGACACGACUCAGCAUCGAUUCUAACAUCCCCCACUCAUGUGCAUUCUGAAUCUUGCACUACCCGAUAUGUCAUAAAAUGGCGGAUGUCGGAAUCGUACUCAUGCCCCAUUGGAGUGGAGGGGGCUCGAGACCAUCUCUCAUAUUAUAUUAUCCAAAUGAUUGAUGUAGCAAGAAAAGGUUCGGCCGUCCUAUAUGCACUAACUGAAGAGGUAACAACAGAGACAACAGAAUGAUUGACUGAAGUAUACAUCAUAAGAUGACAAAAUGCAGGAAUCAAACUCAGGUCCCAUUGAAAUGAAGGGGCUUAGGACUAGCAAGGAAAAGGUCCAGUUGUGCAUGGUGAGCAUCCAGUAAAGAACACUCCGUGCACCAACAAAUGAGAUUACAAAAAGAAAAGACAACUGAACGACAGACGACUGACAGAAUCAUAUACCACAGAAUGGCAGAUAUAAGAAUCGAACUCAACUCAAAUUCUAUUAAAAUGGAAGGGCUCAGGACUCUUUGCCUUAGAUUCUAAGUUUACUAUAUAGCAAGAAAAAUAAAAUAAAAAUAUUUUUAAAAAAAUUAUGAUGGGAUGGUUGACCCCCAAAAAAAAACAGAUCCUGGGGGAUCACCUCGGAGGAUCCGGGGGUAGUGAAGCGGACGGAGGCGGGGUCGACGGCGAGGUCGGCGGCGUUGAGGACGAGGAAGCGCGUGGAGGAGACGACGGCGACGGCGAUGGUCGAGGAUCCCGAGAAGGCGCAUCGGGCGAGGUCGACCCGCAGGGAGAUGACGUACCGCUUAGGGUUUGCGAACCGCGGGAGGCGGGCUUGGCCUUUGAAAUCCUCCACGCUCUGCUGCUCCGCCUUCGCCAUUUUUUGCGCCUCUCUCUCCUUCUCUCUCUCUCUCUCUGUCUCGCUCUUCUUCUUUUUCUUUUUUUUCAGGCCCGUUUGAUGAUUCUUCAAGUAAAAUGACUGAUUGAUUGAUAUAUUUGUACAAAUAUUAUAUAUAUAUAUAUAUAUAUAUAUAUAUAUAUAUAUAUAUAUAUAUAUAUAGAGUGAGACUAUUAUGAUAUCGGAAGCACGGAGUCUUCCGUGCUUCUAGCUCGUUUUCGAUGUUGCGACUUUCAAAUCGUCGAUCGGCUCCGUUAAACGUGAUCUAGAGUAUUUGAAGUACCUAGAAAUAAAUUUUAUUAUUUUUUGAUAUCAUUUGCCUAGUGAUCGAAUGGGCUCAAAAUCAACAAAUUUCAAUGGUCGUAGUAAGCCAUUUGCAAGUUUAACGGUGUAAAAAUAUCCAAAUCAUGUGAAAUUUGAUAGAAAAUUCUUUAUACUAUAUAAACGAGAUCAAUAUCUUUGAUUUAAAAUUUUAAUAUCAUAUUAUCACAUUUUGUAAGAUUUUUAUUUUCAGCCGUUGAUUUUAAGCCUCUUCGUUCACUAGGCAAAUAAUAUCGUAAAAUUAUAAAAUUUAUUUUCUAGGUAUUUCAAAUACUCUAGAUCAAGUUUAACGGAGCCGAUCGACGAUUCGAAAGUCGCAACAUCGAAAAUGAGCUGGAAGCACGGAAGGCUCCGUGCUUCCGAUAGCAUAGUAGCCUCACUAUAUAUAUAUAUAUAUAUAUAUAUAAGUCCGCUUCACCGUAUUUUUAUGAGUAUUGACUCUCUUAUACUCAUAAGUUUUUGGCUCUAGAUUUAUUUUAUUGAUCAUUUUUCACCUGUAGAUCAUACUAUUCAACCAACUACCCACUCAACCCUAGACCGUGGGACCACUAUUAUUUUAAGUGGGGACCACCAUCAUCUAACCAGACAUCCAUCAAUCAACGGUUUAAAAUUUAUGAGUAUAGCGGACUACUAUACUCAACCCUUAGGGGACCACUAUCAUUUUAAGUAGGGACCACCAUCAUCCUAACCAGACAUUCCAUCAAUUAACGUUAAAAUUUUUAACAGACAUCUCAUAAAUUUUUAACCGUUGAUUGAUGGAUGUCUGGUUAGGAUGAUGGUGGUCCCUACUUAAAAUGAUAGUGGCCCCUAGGUUGAGUGGGUAGUUGGUUGAAUAGUAUGAUCUAACGGGUGGAAAUGAUCAAUAUAAUAAAUCUAGGGCCAAAACUUAUGAGUAUAAGAGAGUCAAUACUCAUAAAAAGUAUAGUAGCCGAAUCUCUCUCUCUCUCUCUAUAUAUAUAUAUAUAUAUAUAUAAUUGAACUAGAAUACUUUUAGAAGCACCAACCUCUCGGUGCUUCUAAGUUUCUAGCCCUUGGAUCUACUUCUUUAUUACUAAUAGUCUUUUGAUUGAAGGCUAUUCUACCUACCACCACCUCCCACCACCUACCACCAUCAUCUCAACUUCACGUCACUCCAUUCAAUAGCUAAAAACUCAAAAGCACCGCCUUCAUGGUGCUUUUGAGAGUAUUCUAGCUCAACUUUACUAAUAGUCUUUUGAGAGCAUAUUUUAAGUAACUAAGUUUACUUUAUUCUGCAAAAAUGAUUUGAAGACCAAAUAUUAUUUCAUUGUUGAUUGUUGAUAUUUGACCGAACUCAUAACUUUUAGUUAUAAUAAAAAAUUUUCAUACCGAAUAAGAUAUUAUUGGAUAAUUUAUUCUAACAUUCAAAUAUGAAAGUCCUUUUGAUUUAAUAUUUUUUUGCAGUUGAAAGAUGCAGCAGUUAUGACCGUUUGAUUUGAUACAGUAAAAAAUAUUAUAAUUAUAAAUUAUUUAUUUAGUUAUAUCUAGUUGAAAAGUGCAAAAGCAAUAGGCUAAUUGAUAGAUACAGAGUAUGAUAAAAUAAUGAAAAGUGCUUCUUUUUUUUUGACAUUUGGCCCCCUCAAAUAUUAAAUCAAUUAUUUAAUUAUUUUAUCAUAUUCUGUAUCUAUUAAUAUAUUAUUUUAUUCUUGAAUGAUUCACCGUGUUCAAACACGGUAAACUAUUCAUCAUGUAUGAAUAUAGUGAAUAAUUCACCUUGAUCCGUACUUAUAGUCCUUCUAUUUCGUGAUCCGUCCUUGUAUUCCUCUUAUUCCUUUUUUUCGAUACUUAUAUUUUUUUCACAGUACCAAAUGAGUGCAGUGUAUUAGAGCUACUUAUACACCCGGUCCAUAACGACAACCCAGCAAGCGAGUAUUUUGACGAGUAGACUCUUCCUCGGCGGGGUGUUGUCGAUUCCUCGCCGCUCUUCGUUCUUCAACGCAGCCUCAUUCGCAGCGUGGUAUGCGACGCUCCGCAGAAAAUAUCCUCUAUGGGGAUUUCUCGCAACAGGGCGGCGUCGUCGUCGUCGUCGGCUUCGCCAUGCGCUCAGCUUCGAUCGGCUUACCACGAUUGCUUCAAUAGGUCUCUCUCUCUCUCUCUCUCUCUCUCUCUCUCUCUAGAGAGCUCUCUCAUGGACUUAGGGUUUUGUGUGGUGGUGGUGGUGGUGAUGGGGUGGAAUGAUGUGUAGGUGGUAUUCGGAGAAGUUCUCGAAAGGUCGGUGCGAGGAGGAUGAGUGCGUCGCAGAGUGGGACAAGUACAAAGCAUGCCUUGUUGUAAUCUCUCUCUCUCUCUCUCUCUAUCUCUCUCUCUCUCUCUCGCCACUCUCCUUCGUUUAUUGCAAUACUUUAAUUUUGCAUUAUUUGUUAGCGCAGUUCGAAUUAACGUGUUAAUUGUGUGAGAUUAAGAGUUGCUUUGGUGCUUAGCCUAAGAGAUUGGGCGUAAAAGUUGAUCCUUGUUAGCUCAAAUCUGAUAAUUAUGUGGGCGAUUACCAGUUGUUUUGGUUCUUAACCUAAGAAAUUGGGCGUAAAAUUUUAUCCUUGUUAGCUCAAAUCUAAUUAACAUGUUAAUUGGGAGGUAGUAGGAUUCGUUUUGAGUGUAGAAUUUGAUUCUUGUUAACUCAAAUCUGAUUAAUGUGUUAAUUGGGAGGGAUUAGGAGUUGCUUUGGUUCUUAUCGUAAGUAUAAUUUGAUCCCUGUUGGCUCAAAUCCGAUUAUCGUAUUAAUUGUGUGAUAUUACAGGUUGUUUUGGUUGACAUUUACGGGUUGUUUUCGUCUCACCUAAGAAAUUGGGCGUAGAUUUUGAUUCUUGUUAGCUCGAUACUGAUUAACAUGUUAAUUGCAUGAGAUUUAAGAGUUUUUUUGGUGUUUAAUGUAAGAGAUUGGGUAUAAAAUUUGAUCCUUUUUGGUAGAAUUAUAAUGCAUAUAAGAUUUAGUCUCCUCACAUUUUCUUCUAUUUUAUUGCAGUUCCUUUCCUUUAUUACUGCAUUAUUUGCUAGCUCAGUUCUGAUUAACAUGUUAAUUGGGUGAGAUUGGGAGUGGUUUUGGUGCUUAAUUGUAAGAAAGUUGCAUAAAUUUGAUCCUCUUUUCAUAGAAUUAUACUGCACGUAGGAUUCUGUUUAAUUGUUUCUCCACCAUUUCUUCUAUUUAUUUCAAGUUGUUGCCUUUAUGAUGCAGCAAAUAAAUCUCUUUUUAUUUUCAAAUGCAAUUUUCUUUUAUUUUGUAGGUUCGUGUUUGAUUCGGACUUAAACCAUUUGGUUUUAGUUGAUUUGGCUAACCCAAACCCUUUUCUCCCAUAAACAAAAAAAAAACAAUCCCAAGAAGACCUUUGGAAUUCCCCAAAAACAAAGACCUUUGAAAUUCCCAAAUUUGCUUCGUUUUCAAUGCAUGACUCUUGGGUGACCGUGUUGUGUUGAAAACGAAAAGGCAAUAAUUUAUUAUCAUAGGACUCUCAACACUAUAAAUACAUGGUUCUUGAGACCUUAAGGGGAUAUAUUUGGAUGAAUAGAAAAAUUCUACUCUCACUCUUUAUCCUUGGUGUUCUACUUCCCGGUGUGAUCAUCGACGCUUCUUCCUCGCGCCGAGAUCGUCUUCUUCCUCAACUUGAUUGUUGUCACUUCUUCCUCGUGGCAAGAUCGGCUUCUACUUCUACCCCUCCUCUUCUUCCGAGUCACUGCCUCAUCGUCUUCUUCCCCGUUGCCGAAGUUCUACCCGUGGUGUACCGCCCUCCUCGUCGAUCGUGGAUCCCCCGCAAUCGUGUGAACGGUGCACUUUUUGUAUCUCCUAUCUCUUGAUAUCCUAUUAUCCCCUUUUAAUCUAGCCUUCCACCAUUACCAACCAUAUUUGCCAAACAACCAAACCUAAAGCUUUAAGUCCGAUAAAGCCGAAUUUACCUUUUGGAACUAGUAUAUGUAUUUUCAGUUGGUUGUUAUUAUCUCAUAUAUUGAAGGUUUAUCAUCAUCUUAGUAUUACUUCGAUUCGAUUCUAAUUUGUCUUGCUGAAAUUUUUGCUUCCUUGCUUAAAGUUCAUCGAAAUUGAUAAAUUGAACCUAGUUUUACCUUUAAACAAAAGUAAACUUGAAAAUUCAAUUUUGGCAACCUCUCGGUUUGCAUCACUUUACUACAUCAUUUGUUAGCUGAAUUGUGAUUAACAUGUUAAUCGGGUGUUCUUCUGCUGCUUGACGUAAGAAAUUGGGCAUAAAAUCUGGUCCCUUGUGCAGAAUUGUAUUGCAUGUACAAUUUUGUCUCAUCACCUUUUUCUUCCAUCAUAUUGUGAAUUCUCAACUUGACUUCAUUAUUUUCUUCUACUUUUUACAUUAUUUCUGAUUACAAUGUUAAUUUGUCGAGAUUACGAAUCGUUUUUUAUUCUUAAAAAAGUGUUUGGAUUGGGGAUAAGGGGAGGGAUAACCCCUUAUCCCCCCCCCUUUAUACCCAAACGUAAAUUUUUUACCCGAGAAUAGUAGUUCUCGGGUAUCUGAAAUAAGCUGGUAUUACUAUCCCCACCAACACCUCCAUUUUCUAUAUAUAACUACUCAAUAUUUUUCUUACUCCAUAUUAUCUAUCCAAACACUAUUUUUUCUAUCCCCGGGAACAACCCAAUUUUCAUCCAAACGCUAUUUUGCUUAUCCCCAUACUUGUACCUAUCCCUGUAAUAGCUAGUUCUUGCUUAUACCUGAACCAAACAGUACCUAGCCAUAAAAUUGGAUCCUUCUUCCUGGAACUCCUAAAUGUGACAUUUCUCCUCUCCACCGCUCUUAUUUAUUGAAAGUUCUCUCAUUUAUUGCAUUUUCUGCUAUUUCUUGGCUCACAAAUAUAUCAUGUUUAUUGGGCGAAAUUGAAAAGUCGCUUUUAUGCAUGAUUUAAGAAAAUUGGGCGUGAAUUGGAUCCUUUCUUUCCUAUAACUACUGUACAUGAGACAAUGCAUCUCUCUUGUUUUCUUGUUCGCAAUCGUUUUCUUGUUCACAAAAUUAAGUGCAAUGGAUAUUUCGAUAGUGCUAAUUUAUUUAAGUAGCAAGAACAAGUGGGGAUAUCAUCGUAUGAUAGAUUAUCUUAAAGGGAAUGUGGCCUUCAAAACUAAAGGUUGAUCUUGUUGUCCUACUAGCAAUCGAUCAUCCAUCAAGAGGAUAGUGGUUGACCUAGAUCUUCUAGGCUCGCACAUAUUACCCCAAGGCAAGGAAUAUAUCUUUUGAUUCCCAUAGUCCAGUGCCUCGGUCUAUGAUCAAGGCUAGGGAGAUUUCGAAAGGAUGAAGAAAGAUCAUUUAUUCAAUCUAGAGAUCCAACGUUUUGUGUUUGAUCUGUAAAUUCAUCUACAUGUAGAGAAAUCUUUAAAUUUAUCUAUGUGUAGAGAUGUACUAUAAUUUCCUUGCCUAGAAAGAAAGAAGAAUUCAAACCAAAUCAAUACAGUUCAAGAUGACAACAAUUUUCUUACUAUGCAAAAUGGUCUUUGCAAAAAGAAAAAAAAAACUUAUCUUCUCUAAAAUCUUAAGCAAUUACUAAAUGAUAUUUCAAUCAUUUGAACUCAACAGUCUUUUUAUCCUACAGAAGACCAUUAUUGCACUGAAGGGAUACUUAUUAAAUAUAAGCAAAAUGCGCCGGAAGGGUUGGCUAGAAAUAGAAGGAUCUUGUUUCCAUAUGUGUAAGAGCACAAGUAUUAACAGAAAUAGAUAUCUGUAUAGAUAAGAGAGUGCUCCACUCAGUCUUGGACGCCCUAAAGUUUCUUUUCCUAAAGUGAGUUGUAUCUUCAUGUACUUUUAUUAUGUGAGUGUUUCUCCACACUAAGUAGCAUGAGGUUGAAUUGUGAUACUUAGAUGUAUAGACAUUAAUCUUUGAUGCUAGACCAAAAAUAGUGUUAUGCAUGCCUAUGUAGUAUUUUCUAGCACAAGCGAAGUUCGCGAUGCAGUAAUUCAUGUGACGAAGAAUCCAAGUUCUUUUGGAUGAUAGUAGUAGUUUCAGGAUGAGCAUCAUGCUCAAACAUUAAUAGUUAAAACCUAUAUCAACAAAAUUUCUGGAUUAGUUUCCAAUUCCACUAUCAGCAUUGACAGCUUAUACUUUUCAAUGGUUCUUAAUCAAUAGGACCUGUGUGAAUAGUGCAGUACUUUGACAAGAAGCAAAUAGAAGACAAAGGCCCAAUUAGAGAAAAUAGGAGUUUAGCUUGAUUCCUAAUCAAUACCCUCAAGAUAAUUUCUAAAAUCUUUUUCAGUGAUUGAGAGGCAUGAACUAGUUUAUUAAGAGUAGUUUUUGGAGGGUUUUGCAAAAUAUGACAACUAGGAGGCUUCAUAGAACUUUUAAAAACACCAGCUGUUACUUCCAAACUUCUUAAUCCUGUGGAAAAAUCAUAUAAUUGUUCUUUUACCGUUUUCCCACAAAAUGGUGAAUCCAUAUGCAUUUGCUUUAAUCACUUUUGAACACUUUUGUCCUAACUCCUCAAACAAUUCUCUUUUUCCCCGAGGAUUGAGCUUCUGAUGAUCAAAUUUUUAUCGUCCCUGCUUUGCAGCAACACUUAGAAGACAAGCAUCUCAGGCAAAUAUUACUAGAGUCUGAAGCCUCACUGUAUUCCGUUAAAGCUGAUGCGGGCUCUUCCGGUGAUGCCAAUGUCACCUCACACUAAUUGCUGGUGCCAUAAGCAAGGUGCACUUUUUGCUUUCAUUUUGGUAAUCACAAAUGUGUGAGUAUAUAUCCUUAACAUUGGCCGAUUUUCAGAUUGAUUUUGAAGCUAUGAACCCCUUUCAGGCUAUUUAGGAGGGUUCUCCAUCUAUAAGAUUUGGAGAAUUAGGGUUCUUUUGGUGCCCCAAUGAAGUAAUACAACAUUUUACAUGUCCUUAAUAAUAGCCUUUUUGUUAUAGCGGGUAAAAUAUAGACUGUUCAUGCACUGUUUGUUUACCAGUUAUUACUAGCUUAAGUUAUUGUGAUCUACGUUUCUUCUGUCAUGCUGAACAUGCUGUUGUUUGUGGAACUAAAAAAUUAUGGUUUGAAAGAGAGUUUUAUAUGUGCUGGUGUUUCUUCUAUCCAAGCGAAUAUUGUCCUGUAGUAUGUAAACUUUUAAUGUGUUUUCUCUUCGCCAUCCUUUCGACUGGAAAUUGCUAAGACACACCUUUAACAUGACCAUCCAACCUUUUAAAUUGUAAUGGUGUCGAUUAAUAUCUUGGCCUAUACAUGGCUGCCUCUUAUAAAAAGUCCAACAACAAAUACUGCUACAGAAAUGUCCCUACAUACACUAUAUUGCAUCCGACGCUCGAUUCCGUCCAAAUGGCGGCGGGAAAAAGAGUGCGCGGGAGAGAUAUAUAUUUAUAGAGAGAUUAAGAGAGAGCGAGAGGGAGAGAGAGAGGGUGGGGAAUACUUGAUGUCUUGAGAGAGAGAAAAUAAAGCUAGAAUACUUGAUGUCUUAGUAAUAGAUUUUUCAAUGCUUGCGGUAUUUUAUAUAUAGAACAUCACAUUCAAAUUAAAAAUUAAUUUUAAGAUAUGAAUUUUCAAAAAUUAGAUGCGGUGCAUGAGUCAUAUGGAUACACCACGUCAAAGUCUAUUACUUAUGCAUCAAAGUAAGAUUUGAAAUUUUAAUUGUAAUAUUUUUUUGAGAGAAAGGUAACAAGUUACCCGAUUCGUUCAUUUUUUUAGAAAUAAACUUUGUUAGAAAUGUGAAGCAACUUGGCUUCGAACUUGGAAACUUAGAUACCAACCAUCAAACCCUUCGCCAGUUGUGUCAGGUACGGUUGGUGACUAUUCUAUGUAUUGUUAAAUGCUAAAAUGAAAAUUUAUGAUUCUCUAUAUGUAGAUGUUUUGAAUUUCGGAGAAUAUAUCUAAAUGGUUAGAUCUUAUUAAGGUAUAUAUUAGAGAGUUUUACGAAGUGUUACACAUGAGAUUUACCUAUAUAGCUGAGUGCAUGUAAUAUUUUCUGUGGGCCAACCUAUCGAAAAUUUGAAAUAUUUGAAUUUGUUAUCUAACAAACAAUAGUAAUUUUAACGCUAUUAAGCUAUUAAUUUUAACAUUAUUAAAUUUUAAAAACUAUCAAUUUUAAAAAUUUCUUGACAAAUAACUCAGUCCGCACAUUAAUUUCAAUAUAUCUAAUGACAAACUACUGAAAUUAUAUUUAAACAGUUUUGUCAGGUAAAUUUGCAACCAAGAAGAUCAUUCAAAGUACAGUAGAUAUAUAGAAUUUAGCUUUGGUAUUCAAGUUAUUUUAAUCUCUCUUUUCAGUCGGUCAUCAAGUGUUGAAAAAUUUAUUGAUCUUAACUUAGUAUUCAACUCCAAACUAUAAUUGAUGGUAAGUUUCUAUCAAAAUCUGAACAUAUUAUUAUUAUUAUUAUUUAAUUAAAACCAUCUAGCAACUAUGAUCCUGCAGCGAAGCGUGAGCCUUCACUAGUUAUUCAUUUGUACAUUAGCAUAGCAUAAGUAGUAAUCCACCGUAUUUGCAACUCACACUUAGCAGAUCCUUAGAAAUGAAACCGUAGCGGCCUCAACCAACAACUAAGUACCAUUUUGAAACAGACCCCUCAAACUUUAUUAUUAUUUUUUGUAUUGUAUUUACAGUUCACUAUCUGCAGAUCCUUGGAUAUAAAACCGUAGCUGCAUCAGCUAACGACUAUGUAACAUUUUACAAUAGACCCCUCGACUUCAUUCCCUUUUUCUUUGACAACCCGUCAAGUUUUGCUUGUUUUAGUUAAAUUUGGGAUUCCUAACGGAGCCAUUGGUUUUGAAAUGAGCAAACGCAGAGGAGGAUGGCCCGAUCGAAAUAUUUGACGAAGUUGAAGGACCCAUUUUGAAUUGCUUCGAACGCUUUCGCCUCAGCAGAUCACACAGCAUUGAGGGUAGUCCUCAGUAACUUGUACAUAAGAAGGUAUGACAAUGUACGGAUUAAUUACGGGGUCGUUCGGAUCGUCUUCUUGUCGCCGUCUUUCGUGGGCUCGUUUUUCUUCUUGUCCUCCUCCUUGGCUCGCCCGACGUGGGAAAUCUCAGCGUGCCAUUACUUCCUCACCUUGUUAGCGACGCUCACUGGGUCGACGUCCCCGACAACGGUGAGCUUCUUCUCCUUCGUGUCCAUCUGUCCAUGGAGAUGGAAUCAAUCCCUGUUGAUGUCGUAGGCAAAGUGUAGAUCAGGUUUGUGUCUACAUGGGUUUAAUUGCUGAAGUUAUUAGGGUAAAAUGUACAGGUAGCCCCUGUAGUUUUGCCAUAUUGAGAUUUAACCCCUGAAAACUUCAGUUUUUCCAGCACAGAUUUUUUUUGCAUUUUGCAAUCAUAUCCUUGAUCCCAUAUUGCCUAACUUUCAUCUUGUGACAUCCCGGUCAGGUGAUGGGUAAUUACUUGUUUAAAAAAAUUUUGUUUUAAAAUUUUUAUUUUUUUGUCGUUAAACAAUUUGUUGCAAGCAAUCUAUUAUUUCUUCCUAUACUAUUUCCUAUAGAAACUCUACUUAAGAAAAGUAAAAAAAUAACAAUAAUAUCUAACGUGGUCGAAACUAUUUAAGCAAAAAUUUUAGGACUCGGUAGUAAGCAGAGGUGACUUUUACUCUUAUGUUUUCUAAUGACUUACUGUCAUACAUAUAGGGAGAGAGACAGAGAGUGUGUGUGUGUCUAGCUUAUAUGCUUUCAGAAGUACGGUGAUUUUCAUAUUAUCAAAUUAUUUUCGAAGCUGGGACUUCUGAAUUGACGAUUGUCUCCGUUAAACUUUGAUUUAAAAUAUUAGAAGUAUCUAGAAAAUAAAUUUCGUAAUUUGAAAAUAUCAAGAGCAUUGAAAGUAUCUGAAGGUAGAAAUGAUUGGAAAAAUAGAUGUAAUGGUGGAAAAGUUGGUAAACCAAGCGUUUGGUGCUGCUAGAAGCACCACAAUCGAACUCUAUAGAAUUUGGCUUAGAUUACUUUUAAUAGUAUUUGAGUUUUCUUAUUAUCAAGUUUAUUAUUCUUGGACGAAAAAUUGUAGGGUUGGGAUAAGAGUAGUCCCCUAAUAUCAAAGAGGUAGUCGUCGUUGCUCCUCUGUUCAGCCUCUUUAUCCUGAAGCAGCUCGCCUACAGAUUCACAUAUGAAGCUUCCGGACGGAAUAGAACUCAAGGAUCUGACCCCCCACCCUCUCGACAGGGUCUUGAAUAUUUCUAGCUGUAUUUUGAUACCGUGCUGGCUCACCCUGUUGUGGCACGGCGGCAGACACUUGCAGUUUGGCCUGCACUCAGUAUAUAAGUGGCUUCGCCUGAACAAUAGCGCCGUUGAAAUUAAAUGGAAUUUCCCCUCCAUUUUUCAUCGCACAAGCGCACUUGGCAGAAUCCGAACAGCCGCCAGAACAGUCGCAACCCAUGGGACGAGUGUUGGCAUACCAUGGUGGAUAUAUGAUCUUGGUGAUAUAUUGAAACGGCGGCGGCCGCUCAUCAUCGAUUGUGUUGACCGCACAGGUUGGUAUCUUCUCCUUGCCUUGAGAUAUAUCACGCACACAUAAACCUUUGCGGACUUUCAACCUUUUUGUCUUGUUAACUACAUUUAGGGCAAGUUCGGGUAGCCCUGGCAUUCGUCUCAACUGGAACUUAAAAACAGAAACACCAUGGGGCACUUUCUCACUCCAAUACUUCUCAACAAGGUACAAUCCUGCGUAAGUGAACGUCGAGACCAUCUUAAUCCGCCCAUCGGAGCUAUCGCCCCCUUUAUGCUCCUUAAAGCCAUGUAUAACCCUCACAGGUGUCUGCAUGUCAAUGCUGUUUUUGAGUGCUAGGUUCCCACGCUCGAGCUUCUGGUCUUCCGCUUCUUUCUUACCUGCGGGUUUUCCUCCCGCGCCAGAAUAUAUUAGCACAUCCGAACUGUCGAUGUCAUCAGGGUAGCCGCCAGAAGCAACGAUGCUUGUCGCAAGACGUAGACCGUUUUUGACUACAGAAUCUAUACCUCCUUGAUAAGGGCAGUGAAGUCCAACAAUAGAGAGCUCCACCCGAUAGUAGAAUUCGUCCCCGACUUCAACCCCAGGAACGUUUCCUAAUACUGCUUCACCAGAGUUAACAUACUCGUUGCACCUUUUGAGGACCGCGGCUGCCUCUAGAUCGAUCCUGCCAAUCUUGCCCGAUUCCUUUGUUGACUUGGCUUCUUCGCCUUUCAACAACUUUUCUACAAACCAAUUGAAACAAUCAGAGGAUUCUCCUGACCUUGGUACGAUCAUCAAUGAGCUUUUUGUCACUUCCCUUGCGAUUCCAUUCAAUAGGAACGCACGAGGUGAUGUUAACACUUGGUUCCCGUUUUCCUUGGUAUACGGUUAAUUCAUGUUUUCCUUGGUACAUGGUUAGUGCUUUUGCAUUCUCAUAAUCAUGUGGCAUCGCAUCCUCUUCAUCAUCUUCUUUCAAUUCAUCUAUCGGUCGAAAAACAGAUUCACCCCUUGGGGCAAGCUUCUUGUUCAAUACCCUCCCCCUCCCCUCCUUUUUUAUCUUAAUUUUUGAUGAACUGGAAGGUGAAUUUCCGAAAGAAGUCCUUCCACGGACAGUUUUUGGCAGACAUAAGAGCUUUGCACGAUUACCGUCUCACUGUAAGCAUCCAAAGAAGCAUCUCCUUCGCUCUGAUCAUCCGCGUCCUGUCUGAGCUUUCGUGGAACAGCAUCUACAGACUUGACGAAAUCGAUCCUAUCCUUCUUAACAAUUUUUUCAAUUGACAACGCUUCAAUUGAUUUCUCUGCCGUUUUUUGACUAAUCACUAGAGAUCUUUCACCACCAUUCGGACUCUUGUUUCUAACCUUUUCAAGAGAAGCAACUUUUGCUCCAAAUUUCCUCUCACCAUCCAUACUCUCACCCUUCAGUUUCUCAAUAGAAACAGCUUUAACCAACACAUGCGAACUGGUAUUUAUAUCUGCCUCUAGCAUCUUACUAUUAUCCAAGUUAGUUUUGUCUUUCAUAGCUUCCGACGAAAAAUAUCGAAGAUCAAGUUCUUUGCCAGCUGAUUUCCGACCGGUUUCGGAUUUGUCGCCACCAUCAAGAGAACUCUUACUUUCUGGCUUUUCAACCAAAACAAUUUGCCCGGAAACUUCUGAGGCUGCUUGCUUAUUUCCUUCCGAUUUUUCUCACCAUUCAAGUUCUUAUUCGGAUCAGCAGCUUUCGGGCACUUCUCUUUGCUCGUACGAGUGUUGUUCCUCCCAAACGGCCACACCCGACUAGAAAGCGCCGAAUUGCCAAUACCGCUCUUCUUUUAGGAGGAUAAAUCUUCGACAUCAGCCACCGCUUCUCGCCACCGAAGCCAUUUAGUUGGCACUCCAAAUUUUCAAAAUUUCUAGCUUGAUCAGAAGAGCUAUCUAUUCUGUUUUCCACCAAACCCUUCGCAGCCUGCUCGGAACUACCAUCAACUCUUUUCCUCCGGUGGCUUGAUUUCAACUCCAAGUAGAGUUUCUAAACCCUUAAUUUUCUCCUCCAAAGAACCAUUUGAUUCGUGCCUUUGCUUUAAGGGUGCGUUUGGUUCGCACUAUGAAAGAUUACUAAAAAUAAAAAGAUAUUCGAAAAUUUUAUUUCUAUUCAUUCUAUUACUAAAAAUGUAGUAUUUCGGUGUUUGGUUCAUACGGUCAUAUUAUUUAGUCAUGUUAUUUAAGAUUAUAAAAAAUAUACAAUUUAUUUAUUUAUUUUUUUUUAAAUAAUACUAUAAAAAAUUUUAAUAUUUUUUUGAAAAAAAAAGAGAAUGAGAGGGUUAAGAUUUUAGAAAAAAGAGGAAAAGAAAUAAUUAGUUUAGAGAAAGAUAUGAAGUUAGAGUGUAAAAAAAAAUAAUACCUAAAAAAAAAUAAUACCAAUUAGCCGGUGGAUGGAAAAAAAAAAAGAGAAUAUCCGAAAGAAAGAAAGAGUGGAUGGGAAGAAAGAAAGAAAAUAUUCGGAAGAAAGAAAGAAAAUAGAUAUAUUGUAAUUAUCCCAAUCCAUUGAUAUAAGGAUACCUACCAUCCCUCAAAGGAAUGAGAUUAGUAUUUUGAAAUGCAUUUCAUUCCUAAGUAAAUCUAAUAUUACCAACUGAAUUUUCAAACACCGUCAUACAUUUUUAUUCCUAUUGAAAUCUUACCCCCGCCAUUUAUUCCGAAGUUCCUGCUGCCGCUUCUCUCGAUGAAACCCUAACCUUAACAAACUCCACGACCGGCGGGAGAACAGGGCCAACGGAAGCACGAAUCGCCCCGUCGGGAUCCAAACGUGGAUCCGGAGUCACCGCAAUCGGCUUCAGAUCGGCCGUCGCAGGGAAUCGGCCGCAGCCCUUGGGCCAAGGGCGCGCGACGGAGAGCUUCCGCGGCUUGAGCUUGAGCGCGGGAGCCGCCAUGAUCGGAGCAGGGGCCUCGAUCAUAGGGAGCGACCUUGGAACACAAUCACGCUCCGCGGAGGAGCUCAAAUCGAAUCGGAAGGAGGGCCAAAUGAAACCCUAGCUACGACAUGCGAGGGAGCGGUAGAGGGGGGGAGAGAGAGGUGUGAUACAUACAUUGAACUAGGGUUCGAGGGGGAGCUCGAGAGAGAUCGAGAGACCACCUCACCUCGAUAAUGGUGGAGGAGGAG
rnacentral:lncRNA from 1 species